rnacentral:rRNA from 1 species
CGAAUCGAUGGGAGCUUGCUCCCUGAGAUUAGCGGCGGACGGGUGAGUAACACGUGGGCAACCUGCCUAUAAGACUGGGAUAACUUCGGGAAACCGGAGCUAAUACCGGAUACGUUCUUUUCUCGCAUGAGAGAAGAUGGAAAGACGGUUUUGCUGUCACUUAUAGAUGGGCCCGCGGCGCAUUAGCUAGUUGGUGAGGUAAUGGCUCACCAAGGCGACGAUGCGUAGCCGACCUGAGAGGGUGAUCGGCCACACUGGGACUGAGACACGGCCCAGACUCCUACGGGAGGCAGCAGUAGGGAAUCUUCCGCAAUGGACGAAAGUCUGACGGAGCAACGCCGCGUGAACGAAGAAGGCCUUCGGGUCGUAAAGUUCUGUUGUUAGGGAAGAACAAGUACCAGAGUAACUGCUGGUACCUUGACGGUACCUAACCAGAAAGCCACGGCUAACUACGUGCCAGCAGCCGCGGUAAUACGUAGGUGGCAAGCGUUGUCCGGAAUUAUUGGGCGUAAAGCGCGCGCAGGUGGUUCCUUAAGUCUGAUGUGAAAGCCCACGGCUCAACCGUGGAGGGUCAUUGGAAACUGGGGAACUUGAGUGCAGAAGAGGAAAGUGGAAUUCCAAGUGUAGCGGUGAAAUGCGUANAGAUUUGGAGGAACACCAGUGGCGAAAGCGACUUUCUGGUCUGUAACUGACACUGAGCGCGAAAGCGUGGGGAGCAAACAGGAUUANAUACCCUGGNANUCCACNCCGUAAACGAUGAAUGCUA